rnacentral:rRNA from 1 species
GAUGAACGCUGGCGGCGUGCCUAAUACAUGCAAGUCGAGCGGCAGCAUAGUCUUCGGACUGAUGGCGAGCGGCGGACGGCAGAGUAACGCGUAGGAACAUACCCCAAACUGAGGGAUAACUGCUCGAAAGAGUAGCUAAUACCGCAUGUGGUCUUAGGACUAAAGCUUCGGCGGUUUGGGAAUGGGCCUGCGUCUGAUUAGCUUGUUGGUGAGGUAAAAGCUCACCAAGGCGACGAUCGGUAGCUGGUCUGAGAGGAUGAUCAGCCUGACUGGAACUGAGAACGGUCCAGACUCCUACGGGAGGCAGCAUAGGGAAUUUUCCACAAUGGGCGAAAGCCUGAUGGAGCAACGCCGCGUGCAGGAUGAAUGCC